UCUAACACAAGAAGUUUAAGGCAACAACAGGUCUGUGAUGUCCUUAGAUGAACUAGGCUGCACGCGUGCUACACUGAUAUAUAUAACGAGUUAUUAAAAGUAUAUCUUUGUAUAUAUAUAUUCUGUAUAUAUAUACAAAAGAUAUAAUUUUCCUCCACUGAAAAGUGUAGGUAAUCUUUAUCAAUAUAUAUCGUGAUGGGGAUAGAUUAUUGCAAUUAUUAAUCUUGAACGAGGAAUGCCUAGUAAGCAUGAUUCAUCAGAUUGUG
rnacentral:rRNA from 1 species